CACAAUUCAUACUUCUUGAUCUACGGGUCCUUUUCACCCCGAUCAAAGGCAGGGAGAGCUGAAAUUACUUCAGCUGAUCUGCGCCCGGGGUCCAUGAUGGACUUUGGCACAGAUGGAGCGACUAUUAAAUGGACCUCAAGACAUCAGUUUGAGACUGUAUGCCGAUGACAGACGAUUCGAGGGAUAAGUCUUUGAAUCAGCCCCUGUCAGCUGAUCAAUUACCCACAAUACAGUUCCGCAGAAUAUAAAUUUCGCAAAAACGAAACUGCUUCAGAUUGCGACUACAAUAACAGAAGAUUCCUUUCAAUUAGAGAACAGCGAUGUAGCCGCCUUGCUUGUAUAGUAGGACUAAUCACUUCAAGUCGUUUGUCAUAACAGCUUCUACAAGAAGGCGGAAAGUACCCAUCCAAGACAAUGGAGAACAACCACGCAGUUCUCAUUCUGAGUGAAGAAGCAUUAAUAUCUCGUUUAGGACAAAUGGCGCUGAUUUUUCAUCCCAUGUCUGAUGUUCUCGUUUUGCCACCAACAACUCGACCAGAUUGUUUUCUCGGUUAAUUGCUGGUCCGUUCGAUUUGAUGAGGUUACCGCCAACUCCAACACUGUGAGUGAAUGAACUUUUAGGAUUCUUUCAGUUUUAUACCGGCAUCCUUUCAAGUGUCAAACAUAAAGAAUACUCCCAUUUGUACUAGAACGUUACUGAUGACGACGACUCUACUUUUGUGGCUGUCGAUGUAACCAAGGAGACUAUGUUGUAGAUUAUCCCUGACAUAACGAGGAAAGCAAUAAAACACCACCAGCUCGUAA